rnacentral:rRNA from 1 species
UACGGAGGGUGCAAGCGUUAUCCGGAUUCACUGGGCGUAAAGGGUGCGUAGGUGGCGUGGUAAGUUUGAUGUGAAAGCUCAGGGCUUAACCCUGAAAUGGCAUUGAAUACUACUGUGCUGGAGGUUUGGAGGGGGGACUGGAAUUCUUGGUGUAGCAGUGAAAUGCGUAGAUAUCAAGAGGAACACCAGUGGCGAAGGCGAGUCCCUGGACAACACCUGACACUGAGGCACGAAAGCUAGGGGAGCAAACAGG